GUAUUCCGGGGCCAUGAUGCCCCGGCCUCAUUGAAGC
rnacentral:other from 18 species